rnacentral:rRNA from 1 species
AUGGAUUAUGCUGCUGUAGCACGACCCUCUUUUGUUGGAUAUUAUUACCAUAUAACUGGAAUUAACCCAUGCAAGUCAAAGAAGGAUUGGCCGGUGCUGCCGGCUGGCAUCAAGUUCGAUCCCACGGAUCAGGAGCUGAUCGAGCACCUUGAGGCCAAAGUGAGUGCUGACAGCGCGAGAUCUCACCCUCUCAUCGAUUUGUUCAUACCAACCAUCGAUAGCGAGCAUGGCAUAUGCUACACCCAACCUGAGAAACUUCCAGACGCAGACCUGGUGAAGCAAUUACAAUUUGACAGUUAA